rnacentral:rRNA from 1 species
UACGUAGGGCGCAAGCGUUGUCCGGAAUUAUUGGGCGUAAAGAGCUCGUAGGCGGCCUGUUGCGUCCGCUGUGAAAGCCCGGGGCUUAACCCCGGGCCUGCAGUGGAUACGGGCAGGCUGGAGGCAGGCAGGGGAGAACGGAAUUCCCGGUGUAGCGGUGAAAUGCGCAGAUAUCGGGAGGAACACCGGUGGCGAAGGGCGGUUCUCUGGGCCUGUACUGACGCGAGGAGCGAAGCGUGGGGAGCGAACAGG